rnacentral:lncRNA from 10 species
AGAAAUGCAACGCUUUAGAGUACCCACGGAAAACUUGUUUACCUUGUCACCAUGAGUAAAAGUUAAUUCCCACUCCUGAAGAGAGCAAACCAACUCUGAAAGAGAGUGAAAAUGCAGACAAGACAGUUAUCAGAUAAUGGCUAUCUGGACGAGAGAUUCUUUCGUUUGACAGCAGUUUGGUUGUUGGGAGUUCCAGUUCAGCUCCUGCACAGUUGCUCUGUACAAAUCCUCCUCCAUAUUUGCUUAGAGAAAACGUGUUGCCAUCCCAUCAUGAAGGAAGCUGCCUGAGAGUUUUUAACCAUUACAGCCGUGAUGAUGAAAGAGUGAAGAACCGCCUCUAAGUUAAAAAGUGCACCCAGAGAUAAGGUUCGUUCUCAAUGCCCUGCCGCUGCUUCUCAUCGCAUGGCCACCGCAUUUCUCAGUAAGUGGGAAUCAAAUGCUUCACUCACCACAGAGGCCAGGCACAUUGAGCAUUGGUCCUGUGCCUGACGCUAUGCUAGAUGCUGGGGUUGCAGCCACGAGCAUAGACACGACAGACACGGUCCUCGCCAUCUUCUGUUGAG